rnacentral:rRNA from 1 species
CAUGGCUCAUCCACAGGUGCUGCAUGGUUGUCGUCAGCUCGUGUCGUGAGAUGUAAGGUUAAGUCCUUGAACGAGCGCAACCCUUUCGUCAGUUGCAAACCAGCAAUGGCGCACCCUGACGAUACUGCCAGCUAAAAGUUGGAGGAAGGAGGGGAUGACGUCAAAUCCUCAUGGCCUUUAUGUCCAGGGCUACACACAUGCGACAAUGGUCGGUACAACGGGUUGCAACACCGCGAGGUGAAGCCAAUCCCUAAAAACCGGCCUCAGUUCAGAUUGCAGACUGCAAUUCGUCUACAUGAAGAUGGAGUUGCUAGUAACCGCGGGUCAGCUACACCGCGGUGAAUAUGUUCCCGGGCCUU